rnacentral:rRNA from 1 species
GACGAACCGUGCGAACGUUAUUCGGAAUCACUGGGCUUAAAGCGCGUGUAGGCGGCCCGGCACGUCCGUCGCUGAAAUCCCCCGGCUCAACCGGGGAAGGGGCGGGGAUACGGCCGGGCUGGAGGGGGGUAGGGGGAUCGGGAACUUCCGGUGGAGCGGUGAAAUGCGUUGAGAUCGGAAGGAACGCCCGUGGCGAAAGCGCGGUCCUGGACCCCGCCUGACGCUGAGACGCGAAAGCCAGGGGAGCAAACAGG